rnacentral:rRNA from 1 species
UACGAAGGGGGCUAGCGUUGUUCGGAUUUACUGGGCGUAAAGCGCACGUAGGCGGAUCGUUAAGUCGGGGGUGAAAUCCUGGAGCUCAACUCCAGAACUGCCUUCGAUACUGGCGAUCUUGAGUCCGGAAGAGGUGAGUGGAACUCCUAGUGUAGAGGUGGAAUUCGUAGAUAUUAGGAAGAACACCAGUGGCGAAGGCGGCUCACUGGUCCGGUACUGACGCUGAGGUGCGAAAGCUAGGGGAGCAAACAGG